rnacentral:rRNA from 1 species
UACGUAGGGUGCAAGCGUUGUCCGGAAUUAUUGGGCGUAAAGAGCUCGUAGGCGGUUUGUCGCGUCUGCUGUGAAAUCCCGAGGCUCAACCUCGGGCCUGCAGUGGGUACGGGCAGGCUAGAGUUCGGUAGGGGAGACUGGAAUUCCUGGUGUAGCGGUGAAAUGCGCAGAUAUCAGGAGGAACACCGGUGGCGAAGGCGGGUCUCUGGGCCGAUACUGACGCUGAGGAGCGAAAGCGUGGGGAGCGAACAGG